UAUCUUUAGUUACUAACGAGUCAUGUCGAGGACUCUAGAGAUACUGCCUGGGUAACUGGGAGGAAGGUGGGGAUGACGUCAAAUCAUCAUGCCUCUUACGAGUGGGGCAACACACGUGCUACAAUGGUCGGUACAAAGAGAAGCAAUAUGGCGACAUGGAGCAAAUCUCAAAAAGCCGAUCUCAGUUCGGAUUGGAGUCUGCAAUUCGACUCCAUGAAGUCGGAAUCGCUAGUAAUCGCAGAUCAGCUACGCUGCGGUGAAUACGUUCUCGGGUCUUGUACACACCGCCCGUCACACCAUGGGAGCUGGUAAUACCCAAAGUCGGUUAGCUAACCUCGGAGGCGACCGCCUAAGGUAGGACUGGUGACUGGGGUGAAGUCGUAACAAGGUAUCCCUACGAGAACGUGGGGAUGGAUCACCUCCUUU
rnacentral:rRNA from 1 species